CCCAGUUGUUGGAAUAGGGUAAAAAUUGAAAAAAAUAAAUGUAUGUUGAACACUUUCAUGUGGAAAAUCUGGUCUGGCAAGCACACUGUGUUUAGUAAUUGAAUGCAAGAAGCAGCAAAAAUGGCUAAUGGCUUACUAGUGUUCAGGAAAGCUACGUGGAAAAAAUGAUGUGUAUUGUUCCCAAAGGUGAUGAAAAUCUUUUGCUUGAGUGAUUUGUUUGCUGCAAAUGUAAGUGCUGGUCUUCUAAAACUCUUCAUAAGUUUUUGAUAAGCUUGUUGAAUUUGUUUGACCAAAAACAUAGAGAAAUUUAAAAAGCAAAAAACGAAUUUGUAAAAAGAUUUUCACUUUUUUUCAAUAGUUUUUCAUUUUCCAUGAAUAACCUGACCAUUCUUUGCACAAUCCAAAACAACCUAUUUUUCCAUUUGAAAUUUAGCCAAGAAGCCAAAUCAUCAGCUUUUUCACAUUGCCUUAAUUGACUCACAUCUGGUAGCACCUGAUCUUUGCCAGGAGAGAAGACUGUGAAGAUUGUAAAAUCUCCGGUCUUCAUUUUGCAGCACACAGAGGUCACUUGUUACUUGAGACUCAGUUGUUUUCAAGCUAAAAAGCACUGGAUUCCUGAAUUGUCAAAGAAAUAAUGCCAAGUUGCUCUUACCUGGCAAGUGGAUGGGAUUGACAAAUAAUGGCAAUUUGAUGUGCUUUCUAGAAGAUCUGAAGUUUGGAAAGCUUAACUUCCUCAAUCUGUUCUGAUGAAAUAUCUCUCCACUGGCUGUUCUCAAUUGCUAUGGAAAGGUUAAGAAAGGUCUUUUAGGGAGAAGAUUGUCUGGAGAAGUCACGUUGCUGUUGAAAACUGAAGAAUUUGACUUGAUCCACCCUGCCGAGGAUCUUCGGGCCAGUCCUGAUUUGCCCUCACUGUACUCAUGCCUGCUUCUUUAUUCAUGGUAUGAAUUUUGUAAGCUCUACUUGAAGACUACAAAACUUCAGGAUGGUUUUCAAAGCAAACUGAAGAUUAC
rnacentral:lncRNA from 1 species